rnacentral:rRNA from 1 species
UAGGGAAUCUUCCGCAAUGGACGCAAGUCUGACGGAGCAACGCCGCGUGAGUGAAGAAGGAUUUCGGUUCGUAAAACUCUGUUGUUAGAGAAGAACAGCGCAUAGAGUAACUGUUAUGCGUGUGACGGUAUCUAACCAGAAAGCCACGGCUAACUACGUGCCAGCAGCCGCGGUAAUACGUAGGUCCCGAGCGUUGUCCGGAUUUAUUGGGCGUAAAGCGAGCGCAGGCGGUUAGAAAAGUCUGAAGUGAAAGGCAGUGGCUCAACCAUUGUAGGCUUUGGAAACUGUUUAACUUGAGUGCAGAAGGGGAGAGUGGAAUUCCAUGUGUAGCGGUGAAAUGCGUGGAUAUAUGGAGGAACACCAGUGGCGAAGGCGACUCUCUGGUCUGUAACUGACGCUGAGGCUCGAAAGCGUGGGUAGCAAACAGG